rnacentral:tRNA from 1 species
AGCCCCGUGGUGUAGCGGCCAAUCAUACCAGCCUUUGGAGCUGGUGACCCCGGUUCGAAUCCGGGCGGGGCUA